GCAGUUCUGGGAUGGCAGACUUGGGCUGCCACACACGCACCGCGAAGAGUUGCUUCAGGAGACACAGGACACGGCCCACUUCUCCAUCAUUCAGCCCUGGACUCUGAGACUAACCCAAGACAGACGAGCGAAAAUUAGAGUUUCCUAAUGUAGCUAUAUCUCAGCUGGGGGAUUGCUGCCCACCUGCCUGGCACUGUGCUGACGAGUUUCAGCACAGAUGUGACCUCUGUGGCCAGAGGCCAGGAUGAGGUUUGUGUGGCUGUAAAGACCAGCCUUCGAUCUUUUCUUUCUGAGGCAACCACAGUGGGUGGCUGCAGGCCUGGCGUCAUCUGAGAGGCUGCAUGGGUCCGGGUCCUGGUGGAUUCUAGGUGGAGCUUAGCUCCGAGCCUGGUGUCUCUCCUCUGUGUUAGAUCUGCACAAGGUUGUUCAUUGGCUCAGCCUGUGCCAGGUUCACACGGAGCAUCCUUAAAGGCCAGUUUGUGCUUUGAGUUCAGGGGAGGAACGGUGACUCCGGGGGUAGAUGUAAUUCUUCUUGGGGACUGUGGUGGUUAUCUCUAACUGUCCACUCGACAUAACCUAAAACAACCUGGAUAGACAGAGUCUCGAUUAGGGAUUGUCCAUGUUGGGUUGGCCUGUGGGCUUGUCUGGAUGACAGAUUGUCUUACCUAAGUUAACUGAUGUAGGAAGGCCCAGGCCGGUAGGGGUGCCAGCAUUCCCUAGGCAGGGGACACUGAACUGUAGGAGGAGAAAAACAGAUCUGAGCGUGAGCGAGUGGGAAUGUAUACACCCGUUUCUCUCUGCUCCUGAUUGUGGCUGGAUGUGACCAGCUGUGUGAAGGGCCUGCCUUGACUUUCCCCGCCGCGAUGGACUGUUAUAGAAUGAAAUAAAUGUCUUCCUUCCCUGA